GUGAACAUCAUGGGUCGCAAUCUAGCAUUCACCCAUCUUAGCCCUAAACAACAAAAGGAAAAAUCUACCUAAUGCGGUUCAAGAAAAACCCUUAGAAAAGAACCGUGGUCAAAACAAAAACUAAGAGUGAAUUGCUACACCACCUAAAAAGGAAAAAAAAAAAGAAAAAGUAUCUACAUGGACUACUUCCCUAAAAAGUACUGUCCAAGUGGUCCGUCCUCAAGAAGAGUCCUCUCACUGUGUUUUUGUUUUUUUUGUUUUUUUUUGUUUUUCCUAUUAUUUUUUCAGUUAUAUCUAAUUCCGACUUUUACCCUCAAGAUACCCGUCGACAAGUGUCCAUCGUUGGGCCAAGUCAGCUAUAUCUACUAAAAGCAUACUUUGAUACAUACAACAAUUAUCUAAAGUUACAAUAACAACAAAUUUUUAUAUACAAUACAACAUACAGUAAGAGCAAGUCGCCCACCCCACAUUUAAAAGUAUGACAUUUCCCCAAGUCAUAUCAAGCAAGUAAAGAGCAGAAGGGUGAGAAGACUUCCCUAAGACUCAAUCCGAGUAGGAGAUGGUGACGGGGUCCACAUUGCAUGACCUCCCCAGUGCAUGAACCGGAGCUCCGAUCUGGCCUGUCGCUGAGACAUGGCG
rnacentral:lncRNA from 1 species